AGUGAACGCUGGCGGUAGGCCUAACACAUGCAAGUCGAACGGCAGCACAGUAAGAGCUUGCUCUUACGGGUGGCGAGUGGCGGACGGGUGAGGAAUACAUCGCAAUCUACUUUUUCGUGGGGGAUAACGUAGGGAAACUUACGCUAAUACCGCAUACGACCUACGGGUGAAAGCAGGGGAUCUUCGGACCUUGCGCGAUUGAAUGAGCCGAUGUCGGAUUAGCUAGUUGGCGGGGUAAAGGCCCACCAAGGCGACGAUCCGUAGCUGGUCUGAGAGGAUGAUCAGCCACACUGGAACUGAGACACGGUCCAGACUCCUACGGGAGGCAGCAGCGGGGAAUAUUGGACAAUGGGCGCAAGCCUGAUCCAGCCAUACCGCGUGGGUGAAGAAGGCCUUCGGGUUGUAAAGCCCUUUUGUUGGGAAAGAAAAGCAGCAGGUUAAUACCCCGCUGUUCUGACGGUACCCAAAGAAUAAGCACCGGCUAACUUCGUG
rnacentral:rRNA from 1 species